rnacentral:ncRNA from 1 species
CGAAGAUUCACGAAGAAGUAUUGCGCUAGUUACUAGUUAUGAGACAACGUAUAGAGUCUGACAUCUGCCCAGUACUGGAAGGUCGGAAAGAGAAGUGUUAUAAGCUUUGAAUGGAAGCCCCGGUAAACGGCGGCAGUAACUCUAACUGUCCUAAGGCGGCCUGCACGAAUGAUGUAACGA